rnacentral:rRNA from 1 species
UACAGAGGUGGCAAGCGUUGUUCGGAAUUACUGGGCGUAAAGGGCGCGUAGGCGGCCAUCUAAGUCAGACGUGAAAUCCCCCGGCUUAACCUGGGAACUGCGUCUGAUACUGGACGGCUUGAGUAUGGGAGAGGGAUGUAGAAUUCCAGGUGUAGCGGUGAAAUGCGUAGAUAUCUGGAGGAAUACCGGUGGCGAAGGCGGCAUCCUGGACCAUUACUGACGCUGAGGCGCGAAAGCUAGGGGAGCAAAGCGGG